AAGUGUCUUGCUCAGGGACGCAUUGGGGGAUGUGUCACAGUGGGAAAUGAACCUGGGUCUUUCACACCAAAGGCAGGUGUCUUAUCCACUGCAACACUGCCACCCCAAACACAUAUUCUGUCUCUGUCUAGCUUGUCAAAACAAACUGACUUAAGGAAAAUGCUUCACUGUACUAAUCAGCAAUGUAAAUGGAGCUGAAUUAAGCUUUAUAGAGAGCCAUCUGUAUCUGUAACUCACUCGGUUUUCGCAUAAUGUCUUUCUUUAGUAACUCUUUUUGAAACAUGCUCCUGUAGUUUUAUUUCCGCAUUUGGCUAGUUGACCACUUUGGUCCAGAUCAAAAUAUCUGAACUGCUAUUGGAUGAAAUGGAAUAACUUUGUUGAUCACAAAAUUUCUUAGUGCCAUCAUCAGGUCAACAAAUACGUCCAAAACUUUUGGUUUUGCAGAUUUGGUUUAAGAUCCAAUGCCUGCAAAACUAGUGACAUUCCCAUCAGUCUCAGCUGUUCUUUGUUUUUAGUGCUAAGUGUUUAGUCUUGUUUCAUCAUUGCUGCCAAUAGCCCUGUGUAUAAUUAUGCUCCUUUUAUUUCCAUGGGCAGCUUCCAAGUGAGAUUUUGUGAAUGGAUGUGAAUACUCCCUCUCUACCUGCAACUCCAGCACUACGCCUUCAGGCUGCUGCUGUAAAUAGGAGUGAACGUAAAGAGUAAGAGAGAGUAAAGUUCACGAAGAACUGGGCAGGACCCAAAAAUACUGUUAAAGAGACAUGGGAUGAUAGUGCACCUACCGUGAUACCGCUUCUGGUCAUCGUUGGCCAGCAUCACGGCCAUCCUCAGGCCGAUACCGGAGGAACAGCCGGUGAUCAGCACCACUUUCUGUCCGGGACU